UACGUAGGGUGCGAGCGUUAAUCGGAAUUACUGGGCGUAAAGCGUGCGCAGGCGGCUUGCCAAGUCAGAUGUGAAAGCCCCGGGCUCAACCCGGGAAUGGCGUUUGAAACUGGCAGGCUAGAGUUUGGCAGAGGAGACUGGAAUUCCUGGUGUAGCAGUGAAAUGCGUAGAUAUCAGGAGGAACACCGAUGGCGAAGGCAGGUCUCUGGGCUGACACUGACGCUCAUGCACGAAAGCGUGGGGAGCAAACAGG
rnacentral:rRNA from 1 species